AUGGCGGCUCGCCGGGCUGUGCGACGCGACGGCUCCCACGGCUCCUCGCGCUGGGCAUGGCGGCCAGUUCGGCUGUCGAAGCGACGGCUCCCGCGGCUCCCGUGGAGGCAAAAAACGCACAGGCAGAUCCGAGCGUCUCCUCUCUACAGUGGCGUUCACAGUGAUCACCGGAGGCACGACGCAGCAAACGUACUCCCGCCGCCCAGAACCUGCUCGACGGAAUGCCCCUUAGAAAGAGAUGUGAAGAAGAUAGCGUUACAGUCAUCGACAGGUAGGACCCACGUUUUUUUUGCCACAUCAGCUGGUCAAAGUUUUUAUCUUCGCCACGUCAGCCCGACAGGUGGGGCCAAACUGUCAGUUUUCCUGUUUUUGCGAGCAAAUCGGACAAUCAGUGCUCCGCGUUACCGAUUAGGCACAAAGUUGGUGGUUUUUUGUGCCCUGGCACAAAUAUGGUACCAAGUUGCUACCCUAGCCCCAAGUAUGGUGAUUUUGCGUAAAUAA
rnacentral:rRNA from 1 species